rnacentral:rRNA from 1 species
AACGAACGCUGGCGGCAUGCCUAACACAUGCAAGUCGAACGAGACCUUCGGGUCUAGUGGCGCACGGGUGCGUAACGCGUGGGAACCUGCCUUUAGGUUCGGAAUAACUCAGAGAAAUUUGAGCUAAUACCGGAUGAUGUCUUCGGACCAAAGAUUUAUCGCCUUUAGAUGGGCCCGCGUUGGAUUAGCUAGUUGGUGGGGUAAAGGCCUACCAAGGCGACGGUCCAUAGCUGGUCUGAGAGGAUGAUCAGCCACACUGGGACUGAGACACGGCCCAGACUCCUACGGGAGGCAGCAGUGGGGAAUAUUGGACAAUGGGCGAAAGCCUGAUCCAGCAAUGCCGCGUGAGUGAUGAAGGCCUUAGGGUUGUAAAGCUCUUUUACCCGAGAUGAUAAUGACAGUAGCGGGAGAAUAAGCGCCGGCUAACUCCGUG